rnacentral:rRNA from 1 species
UAGAGUUUGAUCUUGGUUCAGGACGAACGCUGGCGGCGUGCCUAAUACAUGCAAGUCGAGCGAACAGAGAAGGAGCUUGCUCCUUUGACGUUAGCGGCGGACGGGUGAGUAACACGUGGGCAACCUACCCUAUAGUUUGGGAUAACUCCGGGAAACCGGGGCUAAUACCGAAUAAUNUAUGUCACCUCAUGGUGACAUACUGAAAGACGGUUUCGGCUGUCGCUAUAGGAUGGGCCCGCGGCGCAUUAGCUAGUUGGUGAGGUAAUGGCUCACCAAGGCGACGAUGCGUAGCCGACCUGAGAGGGUGAUCGGCCACACUGGGACUGAGACACGGCCCAGACUCCUACGGGAGGCAGCAGUAGGGAAUCUUCCACAAUGGGCGAAAGCCUGAUGGAGCAACGCCGCGUGAGUGAAGAAGGUUUUCGGAUCGUAAAANUCUGUUGUAAGGGAAGAACAAGUACAGUAGUAACNGGCUGUACCUUGAC